AGAGUUUGAUCCUGGCUCAGGAUGAACGCUAGCGGCAGGCUUAACACAUGCAAGUCGAGGGGCAGCAUGAAGUAGCAAUACUUUGAUGGCGACCGGCGGACGGGUGCGUAACGCGUAUGCAACCUACCUUAAACAGGGGGAUAACACUGAGAAAUUGGUACUAAUACCCCAUAUUAUCCGAGACGGCAUCGUCUUGGGUUGAAAACUCCGGUGGUUUAAGAUGGGCAUGCGUUGUAUUAGCUGGUUGGUGAGGUAACGGCUCACCAAGGCGACGAUACAUAGGGGGACUGAGAGGUCAACCCCCCACAUUGGUACUGAGACACGGACCAAACUCCUACGGGAGGCAGCAGUGAGGAAUAUUGGUCAAUGGACGCAAGUCUGAACCAGCCAUGCCGCGUGCAGGAAGACGGCUCUAUGAGUUGUAAACUGCUUUUGUACGAGGGUAAACUCACCUACGUGUAGGUGACUGAAAGUAUCGUACGAAUAAGGAUCGGCUAACUCCGUGCCAGCAGCCGCGGUAAUACGGAGGAUCCAAGCGUUAUCCGGAUUUAUUGGGUUUAAAGGGUGCGUAGGCGGUUUGAUAAGUUAGAGGUGAAAUCCCGGGGCUUAACUCCGGAACUGCCUCUAAUACUGUUGGACUAGAGAGUAGUUGCGGUAGGCGGAAUGUAUGGUGUAGCGGUGAAAUGCUUAGAGAUCAUACAGAACACCGAUUGCGAAGGCAGCUUACCAAACUAUGACUGACGUUGAGGCACGAAAGCGUGGGGAGCAAACAGGAUUAGAUACCCUGGUAGUCCACGCAGUAAACGAUGAUAACUCGUUGUCGGCGAUACACAGUCGGUGACUAAGCGAAAGCGAUAAGUUAUCCACCUGGGGAGUACGUUCGCAAGAAUGAAACUCAAAGGAAUUGACGGGGGCCCGCACAAGCGGAGGAACAUGUG
rnacentral:rRNA from 1 species